GACGAACGCUGGCGGCGUGCUUAACACAUGCAAGUCGAACGGAAAGGCCCUGCUUUUGUGGGGUGCUCGAGUGGCGAACGGGUGAGUAACACGUGAGUAACCUGCCCUUGACUUUGGGAUAACUUCAAGAAACUGGGGCUAAUACCGGAUAGGAGCUCCUGCUGCAUGGUGGGGGUUGGAAAGUUUCGGCGGUUGGGGAUGGACUCGCGGCUUAUCAGCUUGUUGGUGGGGUAGUGGCUUACCAAGGCUUUGACGGGUAGCCGGCCUGAGAGGGUGACCGGCCACAUUGGGACUGAGAUACGGCCCAGACUCCUACGGGAGGCAGCAGUGGGGAAUAUUGCACAAUGGGCGGAAGCCUGAUGCAGCAACGCCGCGUGCGGGAUGACGGCCUUCGGGUUGUAAACCGCUUUCGCCUGUGACGAAGCGUGAGUGACGGUAAUGGGUAAAGAAGCACCGGCUAACUACGUGCCAGCAGCCGCGGUGAUACGUAGGGUGCGAGCGUUGUCCGGAUUUAUUGGGCGUAAGGGGCUCGUAGGUGGUUGAUCGCGUCGGAAGUGUAAUCUUGGGGCUUAACCCUGAGCGUGCUUUCGAUACGGGUUGACUUGAGGAAGGUAGGGGAGAAUGGAAUUCCUGGUGGAGCGGUGGAAUGCGCAGAUAUCAGGAGGAACACCAGUGGCGAAGGCGGUUCUCUGGGCCUUUCCUGACGCUGAGGAGCGAAAGCGUGGGGAGCGAACAGGCUUAGAUACCCUGGUAGUCCACGCUGUAAACGGUGGGUACUAGGUGUGGGGUCCAUUCCACGGGUUCCGUGCCGUAGCUAACGCUUUAAGUACCCCGCCUGGGGAGUACGGCCGCAAGGCUAAAACUCAAAGGAAUUGACGGGGCCCCGCACAAGCGGCGGAGCAUGCGGAUUAAUUCGAUGCAACGCGUAGAACCUUACCUGGGUUUGACAUGGAUCGGGAGUGCUCAGAGAUGGGUGUGCCUCUUUUGGGGUCGGUUCACAGGUGGUGCAUGGCUGUCGUCAGCUCGUGUCGUGAGAUGUUGGGUUAAGUCCCGCAACGAGCGCAACCCUUGUUCACUGUUGCCAGCACGUUAUGGUGGGGACUCAGUGGAGACCGCCGGGGUCAACUCGGAGGAAGGUGGGGAUGACGUCAAGUCAUCAUGCCCCUUAUGUCCAGGGCUUCACGCAUGCUACAAUGGCUGGUACAGAGAGUGGCGAGCCUGUGAGGGUGAGCGAAUCUCGGAAAGCCGGUCUCAGUUCGGAUUGGGGUCUGCAACUCGACCUCAUGAAGUCGGAGUCGCUAGUAAUCGCAGAUCAGCAACGCUGCGGUGAAUACGUUCCCGGG
rnacentral:rRNA from 1 species